rnacentral:rRNA from 1 species
CAGUAGCCGCGGUAAUACGAAGGGUGCAAGCGUUAAUCGGAAUUACUGGGCGUAAAGCGCACGUAGGCGGAUCGAUCAGUCAGGGGUGAAAUCCCAGAGCUCAACUCUGGAACUGCCUUUGAUACUGUCGAUCUGGAGUAUGGAAGAGGUGAGUGGAAUUCCGAGUGUAGAGGUGAAAUUCGUAGAUAUUCGGAGGAACACCAGUGGCGAAGGCGGCUCACUGGUCCAUUACUGACGCUGAGGUGCGAAAGCGUGGGGAGCAAACAGGAUUAGAUACCCCCGUAGUCCCUGUCUCUUAUAC